CGCAGACCCCGCCCCGCCCACCCCCACGCGUCCUGCUGCCAGACCUCGGCCCUGGCUCCGCCCCUCUUGCGCCCGGGUCCUGGGCAGAAGCAGCUCCCCUCUUCAGCGCGCGCCACCUCCUGUGGCCGCCUCGGCGCCAGGCCCUGGGUCUCGCCUGAGGGCGCCGGGGUCCCGCGGCGCAACCGGCCCCGUCUCGCUCGCAGUCCGCCGCCUCCUAGGGCGAGAGGUUGCCAGCCUAAGCCUGCAGCGCGCAGAGGCCAAACCCUUCCCCGGGACCCGCGCGCUGUGCUACCCAGGGAUCCCCACUGUUGGGGACACGAGGCUUUUCUAGUUUACGGCGUGACCCGCUUGGAGGAAUUGCGGUGCCGAGACCCCUUAGGGACAGGGUGUCUAUUCCCUACUUAAAGGGACGAAGACUCCGGUUCAGCCCACUGUGCCAGACCUUCGGAGGAAUCCUUAUGCAAAUGAGCGUUUUAACAAUCCAGAUGACGGAUGCGGCCAGGAUAGGCGGCAGGGGUCCGGCCCCCCACCAGUUGGAGAGCCAAGCUAAGGGGAGGUCGGAAUGUUUGCUUACCUUUUCACCUCUGAGGAAGUCGUGGCUUUAACUCCGUUCACGGCCAACCUGGCAGAGCGAGCUGUGGGAACGUUUAAAGCCUAAGAUUGUAGGAGCUGGCAAGGCUCCAUUUAAUCCAGGGCCCUCAUUUUACAGACGGAGAAACUGAGGCUCAGAGGAAGGUCACCCAGGUGGGCCUGUUUGCCAGUUCCCGGUAUGGUGGCGCCGAAAUUGUGUCAUUUCUACUAGUCUCUGCUUUGCAAUUUAAGGUCGUCCUCUGAUUAUUAAAAUGCGGAAACUGAGGCCGAGUGAGGAGCACAGCUUGCUUGGUAAAGCUUUUCCUGGGAGGCGGCAUAUGCUCUGCCGAGGAAGAGGAGCUGCCUAGAAAUGAGAUCAGAGUGCCUUGUUCCUGAUCUCCAUCCUGAACUCCUUUCAGGGCGUGUUGAAGGUCAGCGACUGCAGUGGCUAGAGACUUCAUUCUUGGAGAACCAGAUGCACAGGCUCUGGACGCGCAGAAUCAGCGGUCAUGGCUCAGCGGCCCAGCCUCUCCUCGGCACGUGGGAUCUUCCCGGACCGGGGCACGAACCUGCGUCCCCUGCAUCGGCAGGUGGACUCUCAACCACUGCACCACCAGGGAAGCCCUAAAAUGUCCUUUAUAGCAUUUUUUUUUUUGAUUCAGCAUCCAAUUCAGGAUCAUUCAUUGUAUUUAGUUGUCACAUUUCUUUAGUCUCUUCUCAUCUAGAGCUUGGCAUUCCAGUCUUUAUCUUUUGUCUUUUAUGACACUGACACGUUUCAAGAGACCAGGCCAGUUGCUUUGCAGAAUAUCCCUCAGUUUGGAUUUGUCACAUUGCUUCCUCAUGAUUGUAGUCUUCUUAGGGCUUUGUGUCAGAGGGACAAAGGCUUUGCCCUUUUGAUUGUCCUCCACUGCCUCUUGCCAGGUGAGGGUCAAGGUUGGCCCUUUGUACUGUUAUAAGGACCAGUUUUGGAAGAAAAGCAGCAUAGCUUGGGGGAAUGAGUGCAGGCCUUGAAGAGCAAUAGAAGUGAGUUCACGUCCUGGCUGUGACCUCUAGCUGAUUGACACUGAGCGUAUCAGUUACUCUUCCUGACCCUUGUUUUUCUCAUUUGUCAAUGUCGAUGAUUCCUGCCUUGCAGGGUUAUACCUAACAUAAGUAAAAAAAAAAAAACGAGCAGAUUAUCUGAUGUAUAAUUAAUUGUAACUUCAUAAAUGGCAGCUAUUCUGAAGUCCUUAAAUGUGACAUACCAAAAUAUCCUUUUUUUCCACACCUCUCUCAGGUGCACCUUUUCUUGUGCUUUCACACCUCUCCCAUUCUAGGGCACCUCUGUUGUCACUGUCUCCUUUCUGUUGCCCACGCCCUAACUUGUCCCAUACCACCACCACUGGUUACCCUAAAAUGUGGCCCUUGCCAUCAUAUUCGCUUGACUUCCUGUUUCCCGGGUACAUCAAUUCUGAAUGCCCGGCAUUCAGCGCCUUCCCUAUAGUCUUACCUCAUUCCACCCACCUGAACUUGCCUCCCACUGUUUUUCAUGCGGAACUGUGGUUGCUCUUGAUUUGGCUGCCAGCACACUCUUCCUCUUCUUCCUUCAUUAGUGUUACAGACUUUACCCCACGCUCCACCCUUGGGGUGUAUGCAUGUAUCAGUUAGGAUAUGAUCACAAACAGGAACUGCUCCAGGUAUUUUAAGAAGGAAGGGACUUAAUGAAGGGCAUCUGGAAAAUCUGGACAAAGGUCAAGGAAGGCCUCCAGCUUCCAGAGACAGGAAUUUGAAGGAACUCAGGAAACCAGUAGGGAUGAUCACAGCUGCCUCCCAUCCUGAGGCAUGAGAUUUUCAGGAAAAUACUUAGAGACCACUGCAAAAUGUCAUGUCUGCCUAAGCCUAAAGUUUGACGGUGCCAGAGUAGCGAAAACCUGGCUUCUGCCUUAUUCUGCCUUUCACAUCUUGGCAAGUGCUUCUCCUGGAAGAACUGCUGUCUCUGAAGGUAGGAAUUCUGGAACAUGCACUUCCCAGACUUCUAGCCCCUUGAUAAAGGGAAGAACAUAGAAGGGUCAUUGCCUCUAUCAUUUACUGGGCCAGUAGAAGUCUUUCCUGGGGAGUCUUCUGAUGGAACUAGUGGGGAAGAGUUCUGGGGUCACAACUAGAAGUACUGGUUGUACUGGUUACCUUGAAGGCCAUCCUCCAUGACUUUUGGAGGAAGCCCAGUUGUGGUAGGGGAGAAUGAGGCUCUCAAAGAGUGAGGACAGGGUGAAAAACAUAGGUGGAG